rnacentral:lncRNA from 1 species
UUUAAAAAAUAACUUUAGGAUUUUUUUAAGUUUAUUUACUUUUAGUAAUCUCUACACCCAAGUGGUGCUCAAAAGCACAACCCAGAUAUCAUGAAUCACACACUCCUCUGACUGAGCCAGCUAAGGACUUCUUAACUGAAGACAGAUCAGACUCCACAAUCUCUGGAGAAACAGAAUGGACAGCUGCAGCACUGAGACCUCAGGAUGAGCUGCUCUUCAGCGAAGAAGGUAAGAUUCAAUGGGUACAACUUGUAUUUAUAGCAAGAAUUAAUAGCAGUACUAUUGGCUGUAAGAAAAGCAAUAGAGGAGAAUCAAGCACCAUAUAUAUUUUUACUGACUCAUGGGCAGUAGCAAACGAAAUAGCCCUAUGGUCGUGAAAAUGGAAAAGAAAAGAUUUUAGGGGCACCUAGGUGGAUUGGUUGGUGAAGCUUCGGACUCUUGUUAUUGGCUCAGGCCAUGGUAUCAGGGUUGUGGAAUUGAGCUCUCAGUGGGGUUCUUUUCUUAGCCAGGAGUCUGCUUGAGAUUCUCUCCCUCUCCAUCU